UAAACUAAGCAUAUCAAUAAGCGGAGGAAAAGAAACCAACAGGGAUUGCCCUAGUAACGGCGAGUGAAGCGGCAACAGCUCAAAUUUGAAAUCUGGCUCUUUUAGAGUCCGAGUUGUAAUUUGCAGAGGGCGCUUUGGCUUUGGCAGCGGUCCAAGUUCCUUGGAACAGGACGUCACAGAGGGUGAGAAUCCCGUACGUGGUCGCUGGCUAUUGCCGUGUAAAGCCCCUUCGACGAGUCGAGUUGUUUGGGAAUGCAGCUCUAAAUGGGAGGUACAUUUCUUCUAAAGCUAAAUAUUGGCCAGAGACCGAUAGCGCACAAGUAGAGUGAUCGAAAGAUGAAAAGCACUUUGGAAAGAGAGUCAAACAGCACGUGAAAUUGUUGAAAGGGAAGCGCUUGCAGCCAGACUUGCUUACAGUUGCUCAUCCGGGUUUCUACCCGGUGCACUCUUCUGUAGGCAGGCCAGCAUCAGUUUGGGCGGUAGGAUAAAGGUCUCUGUCACGUACCUCCUUUCGGGGAGGCCUUAUAGGGGAGACGACAUACUACCAGCCUGGACUGAGGUCCGCGCAUCUGCUAGGAUGCUGGCGUAAUGGCUGUAAGCGGCCCGUCUUGAAACACGGACCAAGGAGUCUAACAUCUAUGCGAGUGUUUGGGUGUCAAGCCCGAGCGCGUAAUGAAAGUGAACGGAGGUGGGAACCCGCAAGGGUGCACCAUCGACCGAUCCUGAUGUCUUCGGAAGGAUUUGAGUAAGAGCAUGGCUGUUGGGACCCGAAAGAUGGUGAACUAUGCUUGAAUAGGGUGAAGCCAGAGGAAACUCUGGUGGAGGCUCGCAGCGGUUCUGACGUGCAAAUCGAUCGUCAAAUUUGGGCAUAGGGGCGAAAGACUAAUCGAACUAUCUAGUAGCUGGUUCCUGCCGAAGUU
rnacentral:rRNA from 1 species